AUAGAGGCCUACCAUGGUGGUAACGGGUAACGGGGUGUUAGGGCACGACACCGGAGAGGGAGCCUGAGAAACGGCUACCACAUCCAAGGAUGGCAGCAGGCGCGCAAAUUACCCAAUCCCGACACGGGGAGGUAGUGACAAUAAAUAACAAUACGGGGUUCUUUAGGAUCUCGUAAUUGGAAUGAGUACAAUUUAAAUCUCUUAACGAGGAACAAUUGGAGGGCAAGUCUGGUGCCAGCAGCCGCGGUAAUUCCAGCUCCAAUAGCGUAUAUUAAAGUUGUUGCAGUUAAAAAGCUCGUAGUUGAAUUUCGGGGUUAGUAGGUUGGUCAUGCCUCUGGUAUGUACUGGUCUCACUGAUUCCUCCUUCCUUAUGAACCGUAAUGCCAUUAAUUUGGUGUUGCGGGGAAUUUGGACUGUUACUUUGAAAAAAUUAGAGUGUUUAAAGCAAGCUAACGCUUGAAUACAUUAGCAUGGAAUAAUGAAAUAGGACGUUCGAUCUUAUUUUGUUGGUUUCUAGGAUUGACGUAAUGAUUAAUAGGGAUAGUUGGGGGCAUUAGUAUUCAAUUGUCAGAGGUGAAAUUCUUGGAUUUAUUGAAGACUAACUACUGCGAAAGCAUUUGCCAAGGAUGUUUUCAUUAAUCAAGAACGAAAGUUAGGGGAUCGAAGACGAUCAGAUACCGUCGUAG
rnacentral:rRNA from 1 species